rnacentral:rRNA from 1 species
GACAGAGGGUGCAAACGUUGUUCGGAAUUACUGGGCGUAAAGCGUGUGUAGGCGGUCAAGUAAGUCGGAUGUGAAAGCCCCGGGCUCAACCCGGGAAGUGCACUCGAAACUGCAUGACUUGAGUAUCGGAGAGGUUGGUGGAAUUCUCGGUGUAGAGGUGAAAUUCGUAGAUAUCGAGAGGAACACCGGUGGCGAAGGCGGCCAACUGGACGAAUACUGACGCUGAGACACGAAAGCGUGGGGAGCAAACGGG